GUGGAUGUCAAUCCACUACUUCUAGAUAUGAGGUCCUAGCGCACAAGAAGGAACAGUGUAAAGCAACCUCAAUUAUUGCCAGCCGCUUUGGAGGAAUUCCGUUCACUUGUUGAAGUUGUCGCCGUUCCUAAUCCUUCCGGUGCCGGGCCCAAAAAAAAAAAAAGGCAAACAAAUCCGAGAAAUAAUGCGAAAGAGCAUUGCAAUUCUCCUGCCUCUGGCGCUUUGCUGAUUCCUGUUGAGAAAUCCAGCUCAGAUCCAGAAAGGGCUGCACGUCUCGUUGCGAUCCAACCCGGUGAAAAUUUUGAGCUGCUGAAGGAGAAUGAAGAAAAAGAGGGACUCACCAGACGCAGCGACCAUGUCUGCUUGUGUCCAUGAUGGCAAUUCAUCAUCAAGGGCUGAAUACGAAGUAUUUUUGAGUUUUAGAGGUCCUGAUACCCGCUUCAAUAUCACCGAUUGGCUCUAUCAGUCCUUAGCCAAUGCUGGGAUUCACGUUUUCAGAGACAAUGAAGGGAUCCGAAGGGGCAAAAAGAUUAAAGGUGAGCUUCUGCAUGUCAUUGAAUCCUCCAAAAUAUACUUGCCCGUCUUCUCUAGGACCUACGCAUCUAGUAAGUGGUGUCUUCGCGAGCUCACACACAUGCUGGAGUGUUCAAUCAAAGCGAAUGAAAAAGUGAUCCUACCCAUUUUUUAUGACGUAAAUUCCGAGGAUGUAAAGCUCAAAACUGAAUUGUACCGUGGAGAUCUAAAGGAGCAUGAGAAGAAGGGCCGCUGCAAUGAGGUUCAGCGGUGGAAGAAAGCUUUGAAAGCGGUUGCAGGAAUCGCGAGAUGGGAAAUGAGGGACAAAUGCCAGGGUGAAAUCAUCAACAAUAUUGUUUAUGAGGUUUUGACCAAGCUGAUGAGUAGAAAGAGAAAAUUGCCCGAUCAUUUAGUCGGGAUUCAUGAUCAUGUUGAAGCUAUCAUUGACAAGUUAAACGAAGGUUCUCGUGAUGUUUGCUACUUGGUCAUCCAUGGAAUGGGCGGCAUUGGUAAAACAACUCUAGCAAAAGCUGUCUUUAAUCAAAUCUCCAAUCGAUUUGCAGUCUGUAGCUUCCUUUCGGACAUUCGUGAAUCUGCAAAACACCAAAGAAUUGUUGACUUACAAAAACAUUAUUAUUAGAAAUUCUUCAAUCCCAAUUUCAUGAAACUCUCAGUUCUGUUGACAUGGGGAUUGAAAUGAUUAGAAAAACACUUUGUGAUAAGAAAGUUCUCCUUAUUCUUGAUGAUGUGGAUAAUAGGGAUCAACUCUCUAAGCUAGCUGGGAAGAGUGAUUGGUUUGGUUCAGGAAGCAGAAUAAUCAUUACAACAAGGGACAUCAACUUUUUGCCAAUCAAAGAGAAGGACAAAGGGAGUAGUUUCCAAGCACAUUCUCAAGAGUUUCAAUACUAUAAAAUGAAAGAAAUGGAUUUUUUCUAUGCUCUUCGGCUUUUUAGUAAACAUGCCUUCGAGAUGGAUUUACCACCACAUGACUUCGAUGAUAUCUCAAGGAAAAUUACUACCACAACAGGUGGACUUCCUUUAGCUAUUGCGGUUAUUGGUUCCUCACUUCAAGGCAAGAGCAAAACGUCUUGGAAAGUCACUUUGCAGAAGUUAAAGUCGGUGCCCAACCGGGAAGUCUUCAAUAAAUUAAAAUUCAGUUAUGACAUGUUAGAGCCUGAGCAACAAGAGAUCUUUCUUGAUAUUUCAUGUUUCUUCAUUGGAAAAGAUAUACUCCACCCGAGCUAUAUGUGGAAAGCUUCCAACUAUUUUCCGGAGAUGGAACUACUUGUCCUUACUCGUAAGUCUUUGAUAAAGAUUACAAAAGAUCUUAAAUUUUGGAUGCAUGAUCAACUUAGAGAUCUUGGAAGAGAAAUCGUUAGGUGUGAAGACAUCAAUUUUCCAGAGAAUUGUAGCAGGUUGUGGGAGCCUGAGUUUGCCCUCGAAGUGGUUCAGAGGAAAAAGGGGACACAGAAAGUAGUAGCACUCAAGCUAACAAGACUCUCCAAAAGCAAACUUUCACAAGUGAACAAUUUUCAAAGCUGCCCAAUCUAAGAUUCUUGGAAUUAGAGGGCGGAGACUUU